UACUUACGUUAUCCAAGAAACUGAAUUGUGACGGAAUCUCUCCGUAAUCACUCCGUAAUAAAACAAAAUUUCUCCCUUUAGCGUUUAUCACUGAUAAUUUACUGAGCUGCAAGAUAUUUUUUUCUAUUUAAGUUAUUGAGCAGAAAAUUGCAAUGUUUUAAGGUAUUAAAAUGUAACGCAGACUAUCGUUUUCGUAAGCAAGUUAACAGAUCAAUUAUUGAUAAAAAGAGAAGAAAUCGAGAAAAAAUACACACGUCAAAUCAAGUAUUUUAUCAGUAGUAAAAAUCUUUUUUUUACAUGUAUGCUAUCUGAGCUUACAACCAAGUUAUGAUGCUCUUUCUUCUAACACUUAAAUCGAGGAACUGAGACUUGUAGAAAAGUAUCACUGUUAUUUAUGUUCAAAUCUUUAGUCGGCGCAAGGAAAACACUAAUUUCUCAAUUGGAAGACCAAUGAAUUAUUCUAGAGAAUAGAAUGGAUUUUCUCACAAGCUGAAAACACAAAGUGGAUUGUGAAAAAGUAUACACAGCUUUAGACAACAUUAUAUUAGCAACACUUUUGGACCAUGUUUUAAAUCCGAUCCCUUUAGAGGAAAAGACUAAUAUUGAAGAAUUAAGUACAAGAUUGAUUCUGGCAAACAAAUUAAAAUUUUAUAGAGCAACUGGAGUAAACGAUUUUACAGGUCGGAUCUUACACUUGUGUUGAAAGAAAAUUUGGAAAAUAAAACUAUAAUGGAAUUUCCAACAUUGCAUAUCAUUAUCAAGAAUUAUUCGAAUAUGUAUGAAAUUAUAGAUGGGUACUGAUGAAAAAACGAAUGAUACAAAGUGUAAAAAUUAUGGAUUUAGUCAAAAAAUGUGAAUAAUAGAAUUAUUAUAUAAAUACUUAUUCGUAUAUAGAUUUUUAUUGGAAAUACAUCACCAUUAGUUUCAGUACAAUUGAAAUACAUACAAAUGUGAUAACAUUAA